GACGAACGCUGGCGGCGUGCUUAACACAUGCAAGUCGAACGGAAAGGCCCUGCUUUUGUGGGGUGCUCGAGUGGCGAACGGGUGAGUAACACGUGAGUAACCUGCCCUUGACUUUGGGAUAACUUCAGGAAACUGGGGCUAAUACCGGAUAGGAGCUCCUGCUGCAUGGUGGGGGUUGGUAAGUUUCGGCGGUUGGGGAUGGACUCGCGGCUUAUCAGCUUGUUGGUGGGGUAGUGGCUUACCAAGGCUUUGACGGGUAGCCGGCCUGAGAGGGUGACCGGCCACAUUGGGACUGAGAUACGGCCCAGACGCCUACGGGAGGCAGCAGUGGGGAAUAUUGCACAAUGGGCGGAAGCCUGAUGCAGCAACGCCGCGUGCGGGAUGACGGCCUUCGGGUUGUAAACCGCUUUCGCCUGUGACGAAGCGUGAGUGACGGUAAUGGGUAAAGAAGCACCGGCUAACUACGU
rnacentral:rRNA from 1 species